GAUGAACGCUGGCGGCGUGCCUAAUACAUGCAAGUCGAGCGAACAGAUGAGGAGCUUGCUCCUCUGACGUUAGCGGCGGACGGGUGAGUAACACGUGGAUAACCUACCUAUAAGACUGGGAUAACUUCGGGAAACCGGAGCUAAUACCGGAUAAUAUAUUGAACCGCAGGGUGCAAUAGUGAAAGACGGUUUUGCUGUCACUUAUAGAUGGAUCCGCGCCUCAUUAGCUAGUUGGUAAGUUAACGGCUUACCAAGGCGACGAUGCGUAGCCGACCUGAGAGGGGGACCGCACACUGUGGACCUGAGCCACGGCCCGGCCACCUAGGGACGGCACAAGCAGGGACUCUUGCGAACUGGGCGAAAGCCUGCCGGAGGAACGCAGCGUGAGUGAUGAAGGUCUUCGGAUCGUAAAACUCUGUUAUUAGGGAAGAACAAAUGUGUAAGUAACUAAGCACGUCUUGCGGGUACGUAAUAAGAAAGCCCCGGCUACUUACGU
rnacentral:rRNA from 1 species